GGCUGCUGAAUGAUAAAGUCUUGUUGCUACGGUGAUUAGUUCCAUUACCUAGGUGACAGUGUUGGCAUGAUGUCACAACUAAAAUGAUCUAACUCUUGAAAUAUUUUUAGUGUCUGUUGCAGAUGGACUGCACUAAAAACACAAUUUAUCAAUGACCAAAAAUAUCUACAGCUUUUUGAAGGGAAGGAAGGCGUAGCUUGACCACUCUUUCACACUAAUUGGAAAAGCACAGGUAAAGAGCAAAACACACAAGUGGACCACCUGCAUUCAACAACACUGCAUCAGAAAGAAGCUUUCUGAAUACAGCCUGCAUCGCUCCUGUCAGCAUCUUUUCAUGGUACAAGCAGCCUAAAUGACUGAAUGCCACUGAGCUUCACUACGCAUCUGCUGUGCUUCCAUAAAGCGUUACCCAAUACGGAUAACAACGAUCAGAGCAACUCAAGGUCACAGUUGUCCUGGGGAAGUUCUUGAAGUUCUGGGUAUAAUAGUGCACUUCCUGCAUAUGCACAACACGUGCCCAGGAAGGCAUCUGCUUGGCCUUCCACUGCUGCACCUAUGCCCUGGGGAUAAGAUUACUCUGCUGGCAUUAACGGAUGGAAAAUGGGAAAUAUGACUAGAAUUUGGUUCUGAUUUUGACGUUUUGAAGUUGGAGUUUGGUUUUACAAUUGACAGUACUCAGAGAAGCUGGUGCUCUGGUUACGUGGAAGGUUUCACCUAGCAGAAAAGCUUAAAAAACUAUGAAGGAAACUAAGAUCUGGAACAGGAUGCUGACAGCUGCAAUACAAAUGGUGUGCAGAAAAAAAAGUAGACUGAAACUGCAAUUCUAGAAUUUUAAAUGACAUUUACUCUGACCUUGAAGAGGGGAGAAUUAGUCGGCAUGGCCUGAGAAAUGCUAACAGUAAAAUCAGAGUUGUACUUGCAUUCCAAAAUAACCAGUCCAAAUAUUUCAAUUCCAUUUCUUCACACAGUAAAAAUUCUUUUAACUGACAUAUCUUUGAGCACUCACUUCUCUCUCUCUCUCUUCGGUCUAUCCGGGAUGCUUAUUUAUAACUAAAGCAUGAGAGAAUAAAAAAUGCAGUACAACCAGAAGAGAGGCCUGGGUAGGCUUUAGUGGAAUAACUGAGUCUUAUUCAACAAACCCAAGCUUCAGAUCAUUUGAAAACUUAUCAGCAUUCAAAAUGUUUGUUGCUGUUCUCCUUCCUUUGCUUUAGUCUCUCUUGUCUGGGCCCAUAGUAAUUUUUUUUGCUUCUCCAGAAAGAAGAUCUUUAAGCUAUCUAACCAGCCUUUAAACAGGAAGAGGGAGAAAAAGUUCCACUAAUGCAAUUUCACAGCUGUUUUCAAAACUACUGAACUGCAGACCCUACAUAUUAGAUAACUGAUGUGCAAACCUCACAUUCUCGUAAUCUCUCUUCAGAGAAAACAUUUCAGUAGGUAAAUUUAGUUAAACUGGUUGCAAUUAGAAUAUGAAAAAGCAACUUAUUUCACGGAGUGUGGAAGACUUCAGAUACAACAUUAGCAACUCAAUUUCAUUUCAGCACGGGAUCUUCACAUACCUCAUGCUGUACGUGUUGGAAAUAGUCUUAUGCUUCAGUCAAAAACUCCUUGAGCUGUGUUGUGAGCAACUCUGAUCACAUAGUAUAUUGUGAUAACCUGAUAUACAGGUUAUCAAACUGUAUGUAUUAAAGAGCAAACCGUAGAUCUGAAGUUAUUGGUGCUUCAAUAUAUAGUUCUCAGGUAUUACUGUUAUACGUAUAUAAACUAAAUCAACCAUGA